GAUCAAAUGAGAUAAUAUUUAUACAGUGCUUAGCACAAUAUCUGGCUCAUGGUAUCUAUUGUGCUAGAUGCCUAGAAAAAAUUUUUAAAUGGAGGCUGUGAUUUCAUCAGCAUGAACAACUCCUUAGUGGGGAAACUCCUUCCCAUUCUGGGGAUAGUGAUUUCCAGCCUUAGAGAAUUGCCUGGAGCCAAGAGGUUAAAUGACUUACCUAGUGUCACAUAGGUAGUAUGUGUAAGAAGAGCAACUUGAACCCAUCUGUUCCCUGGCUCCAAGGCCAUGCCUGAAGCCAUGCUGCCCUGCACUCACUUAGACCUGGAGAUAUGUUCCUCGAACUGAAUCGACUUGAAAGCCAGCGCUUUCUUCCAAGGAUUUCUUCAAAAGGGUUGAGCUCCACCAUCUGAGAAGGGUGGCAUGUGUGUGCUUGUUUGUGGGAUUUAAGUGCUCAACGUGUCCUCAGAGAUUUCCAUCUUUUUAAGGCCUGGAUACCAUCUCGAGAGUAUUUUUUUCCCUUUCAUGGUCAUUUCGUGGGCUUCAGGGAUAAUUAGCAAUGUGCCUCAUCCUGCAUCAAGAAAGCCAAGCAGGGACCCUGAAUAAACAUGUCCUGGCUCCAUUUCCAUAGACCCAGAACAGACAGACUGUUAUAUUAUCUCUCAUGAAUCAUGGGCUUUUAAAUUUAUUUUACAUUUAUUCUGAAACAACACAAAUCUGCCUCAAGUCAUUAAUCACCAGCUUUGCAUGGGUGGGGUAAUCGUAAAACCCCAUUAGCUCUGCAUCUCAUUGAAAAGGGGGAGAAUAGAAUAAAAAGCUUUUCUUCUUA